rnacentral:lncRNA from 1 species
AGUUUGAAUUAAGUAUCAAAAGAUUGAUGGAUAAGAUGGGGUGUCGACAUGAUGAUAUUUGGGAACCUACUCCAUCUUCUGCCUCGUAUCAGCGGUCAUCUUCACGACAUCCUCUCAUUCCACCGUCUGGUGAUGCUCCUGAGGCUGGGGGUUCUGGAGCUGGUGCUGGAGAUAAUGAUGAUGGUGACGAGGACACGGAGUGAUUUCUUCGUCGAGCUUAAUUUCUCUCUUUCACUGCAUUGCUGUUUAGGACGAUGUUUUAGAUUUGCUUGCUUAUCUUUCAGUAGUAUGUUUUUACUUUUGUUUUAGGCCUGUAACUAUGACUAGACUGCUCUUGUGCUUUCUAGUAUGUUUUCUCUCUCUAUUUGCUUUAUUUUGGCAAUUUUUGACAAAAACGGGGAGAGCGUAGAUGAAGGGGGAGAGCGUGGAUGAACAGGCAAGCAUAGAUGAACAGGCAUUGAGCUAAAGCAGAGGAUGAUGAGUUCAAAAACAAAGACGUCUAUAUGAACAAAGGGGGAGAAGGUAUAAGAAUUUAGUGCUAAUCAUUUUUGAAUGAAUUGUUGUCACGCCCCGCGACCGCCCACCUAUUUGGCCGGGUCGCGGCGCCGCCGACAGAUCGCCGAACGGACAGGGUUUCCCCUGUACUGCGGACAGAGUCUCCCCUGUACGUUCAAGGCAUAGCAAUCAAUACAAUGUGCGAAGUUCCAACCAGGAACACAUUUCAAUCAAGAUUGCAUAAUGGAAGGUAUCAAACAACAUAACACAUCCUAUAUUAUUACAAGCAUUCACAUUAGAUUCAUUUUACAUCACAAUUACAUAAUACAUUCUUUUUAGCUUCCAAAUACAAUCUAGCUUUAACAAUAUUAUUACAACUUGAUCCUUUUCAUUUUCUUGCAUCCCUAAGUAGGGCCGACUCAGGGUACCGCUAUCUCUGGUCUCGGUGGUAGGGCGCUAACUAUGAUGCUACGCCCUCGCCUCGCGCCGCCGCGCCGCUCACGUGUGAACCUGUAACACCCCAAAACCACGUGGGGUGAGAACCAACUCCAUGGUUCCCAGUGGGUACGGCCACCCAAGGGAAAAG